GUUUCACGUUUUCCUCACUCUUCCUGAGCUUUCCCAUAGUUGUGGACUAGAUGAGAAAGCCUUCAACCUUCAAUUGCAAAGUCAGAGGGAAAGGUUUGAUCUUGGAGACUGUAAGUCAGUCCCUAAUGGAAAUGAAAGCUGUUCACUCUGGAAACUCUGGCUUCAGUGCUAGGGGAUCAUGUACAAAAUGCAGAGUAAGUGGUGGGGCUGGGAUCUGGACCAGCGUGCUCAGGUCCUUGCCCAGUCUCCCAUCCCCGCAGUUUCCAUAACUGCUUUUCCCAACUCUACUUCUCCACUUGCUCUCAUACAAUACAAAUUCAUAUCUUCUUUUUUUUUUUUUUUUUUUUUUUUUUUNUUUUGGUUUUUAGGCUGCACCUAUGGCAUAUGGAGGUUCCCAGGCUAUGGGUCGAAUCAGAGCUACAGCUGCUGGACUAUGCCACAGUGUGGCCCUAAACAAACAAACAACAACAAAAAAACCCAAGUUCUCCAGGUGACUCUGAUACACAUUCAAGUUUGAGAAGCAUGGGUUUAGGCAGCAGAAACACUUCACAUAAAACCAUGUCUCUUGUUUGCCUAAACUGCCUCUUAAAGUUUCUUCUCUAUUUAGUGUUUUCAUUUAUCUUUCAUGUCCUUUCACGGCUCCUUCUUUCUUCCUUCCUCUUUUUUCUUCCUCUAUCUACCUAUGUCUUUCCGUUGUAUGUUUUCACUUCCUGUUUCUUUCCUGGCUCACUUUAGCUUUGAACUGCCUCAUUCUUGAAGAUGCAUACAAAUCUAGUACUUCUGCUCCCAAGUUUGCCAGCCUAAGCAAGUCUAUCAGAUACCCAUACUCAGCAUUAUGAAAGAAACGAAACAGAACAUCAGCCGCUUUGUUCUCGAAACAAUCCAGCUGGCAGAAACGAUAGUAUAGAGCUAGGCAUUGUACAGUCCUUUGGUAUUAAUGUGACUUUAAUUAGCAAGACUGCUUGUGACAGUCAUGUGCUAAUUGUCCACAAAUUUCUGGUGGCAUGGGAGAGGACACGACUUUCAGAUGACAGGCAACAUAUAGAAUAUCUGGCCCCUGGUUUAGGAUUAAGUGUUCAUGCUUUCACCGUAGGAGGUGGCUAAUAAUCACAACAGGAAAAAUAAAUUAAUAUUAUUCAUAAAUAUUAUUUUUUACAAUAAAAAUACUGUUUUGUUUAACUUAAAUAGUCUGUUCUUAUUAUACAGUCUUCUGUUCAUAAGAGCAAUUACUCAUAAUUAUUUACUACUAAAUAUAGUCCAGGCCCUUUUCUAUAAGCCUUACAGUAAUGUAGUUAAAUUUUCCCACCACCCUAUGAGUUUGGUAGUAUUACCAUCCCUAUUUUAUUUUAUUUUAUUUUUGUGGUCUUUUCUAGGGCCGCACCCACAGCAUAUGGAGGUUCCCAGGCUGGAGGUCUAAUCCGAGCUUUAGUUGCCAGCCAAUACCAGGACCACAGCAACGCUGGAUCUGAGCCGCAUCUGUGACCUACACCUCAGCUCAUGGCAACACUGGAUCCCCAACCCACUGAGCAAGGGCAGGGAUUGAACCCAAAACCUCAUGGUUCCUAGUCGGAUUCGUUAACCACUGAGCCACAAUGGGAACUCCACCAUCCCCAUUUUACAGAUAAGGAAAUGAAAGCAUGGGAAGGUUAAGUAACUUGUCAAGGAUCACAAGGCUGGGAAGUACUAGAGAUGGGAUUUGCAUAAAAGCAAUCUCUCUUUGGGGUCCUAGAUCAGAUCCACUCUGUUACACUACUUCUUAGUGAGAAUGAGUUAAAUCAUACAAGCCACAUUUGAAUUUCAUAAUCCUUAAUAUUUCACACUAAGAGAUUUAAUAAACAUUUCAUGCUCUAACAUUUGCAGCUGGAAAGCGUAUGGUGUAGUGGGACUAAUACUAGUCUGGGAGCCAGAAGUCUUCAAUUUUAAUCUUAAUGUCUAUAGGCAGCUAGCUGGAUGAUUAUAGAAAAACGCACUGUUUUAAUCUCAAAGCAUCUUAAUUUCUUCUCAUAAAAAAGAGGGUGCUAGACUUCAUUUGAUCAUUUAUGGUUCUCUCCAGAUCCAACAUGCUAUGAAUCCUAAGAAUAAAACAUAGUCCCAGGAAGUAAUUGGACUUAGGAAUACAAUGGUACACAGAAGCAUGAUUGAUUAAUUUUAUAAUUAUUCCUUUAGCUACAAUAUAAACCACUAAUUCAAUAGGGCACAACUCUUGGUUAUUUAGAAUAGUUUGUCACUAUGUGAACAACCUGCAUAGAGAUAUUUGUUUCCUACCACUGCUAUAACAAAUUAUCACAAACUUAGAGGUUUAAAACAAAGCAAGUUUAUUAUUGUCUAGUUCUAGGGAUUAGAAAUCUCAAAUAUGUCUUAUGAGGGUAAAAAUCAAGGGUUCAACAGGGCUGCACUCGCUCCUGGAGGCUCUUAAGUGUGAGUCCAUUUUCUUGGCCCUUCUAGCUUUUGGAGGCCCCCUGCAUUCCUUAGCUGAUGGCACCCUUCCAUUUUCAGAGCAGGCAAUGGCAGAUUCCUUCCUUACAUCAUUCUGAGCUCUUCUGCCUCCCUCUUUGACGUAUAAAGACCUUUGUUUCUGCCCACCUGAUAAUCCAGGAUAAACUAUCCAUCUCAAAAUCAUUAACUUAGUCAUAUCUGCAAAGUCCUUUUGUCAUGUAAGGUAACCCAGUAACAGGUUUCAGGAAUUAGGUCAUGGACAUCUGCGGCUGGGGGUAUUAUUCUGCCUACUGUAGAGAUAGUUUAUGGUUCUCCAGGGAGCCUUUUAUUUCAUAUAUUUGAAAAUAAAAGGAUAACAAAAAAGGAAAAUAUCCAAUUCUAAAAUAAUUGUAAUAAUGAAGUUUAUACAUAAACAAUGAAGUGCAUAUACCCAUUUAUUGAAUAUUUUUUGGAGUUGCUAUUGUUUUGAAUACAAAAGAAUGUUCAAGUCCAAAAAGACUGUAGAGACAACAUAGUGAAGUCAAGUCUCCUUAUUUCAUAUGUGAAGAAACAAGGGCUCAGAGAGGCUAGUGACUUGCUAGUUAGAGAGAAGCGGGCCUAACACCUCUUGGCUUUGUUCCCAGGUCUGAGCUCUGCCAUGACCCCCUUAGGCUGCCUUCCAUUUUUUCAAUCUACCAAUAAUCUCUGAGACUUCUGCAUAUAAUUUCUUAGCCUAAUGCUUAAGGAAAAAUCUUAGCUAAAUAUCCUUUGGCAUACCAGGCAAAUAAGACAAUCUUUCAUAGCUGAUGCUAAUGAUUAAAACAGGCUUCUUAGUCUUCCUUCUUCUUUGGGGAAUUAUGUAAAAGAGUAAAAUACCGAAGAAGGAAAAAAAAAAACUCUUGGUCUUUUGAUUGCCACGUGACGAUAAAGAGUAGGAGGAAAGCUAUGCUGUGGUAAGGAAAGUAGCUAAACCACAGAUGAGGAGCUCACUGAAAAAAACAUCUUAUAAAUACCUUUUCUUAUCCUUAAAAAGUGUCAAAAGAUAUGCCUUAGAUGUCAUGCUAGUAAGGAGAUUUAAUUCCAUGGGGCUGUUGAUAAAGCAAAAACACAAAAAAAGUCUAAGAGUAGCAACAAACUUAGGUGACUCUUUAAAAUAUGUCAUCAUUUUUUUAGGUCAAAUCUUUGUUUUGAAGGGAAAAAUCUUAACUUCUGCAGUGCAUGGAGCAAAAAGAGUGCAACCCCAGCCCUAAACACAGGCAGCAUGGACAGCAUUGUCAGCCUUCCACCCCAGUUUCCCC
rnacentral:lncRNA from 1 species